rnacentral:rRNA from 1 species
UACGAACUGUGCAAACGUUAUUCGGAAUCACUGGGCUUAAAGGGUGCGUAGGCGGGCCGGCAAGUCGGGGGUGAAAUCCUCCAGCUCAACUGGAGAACUGCUUCCGAUACUUCCGGUCUCGAGUGGGGUAGGGGCGUGCGGAACGACGGGUGGAGCGGUGAAAUGCGUUGAUAUCCGUCGGAACUCCGGUGGCGAAAGCGGCACGCUGGACCUCGACUGACGCUGAGUGCGCGAAAGCCAGGGGAGCGAACGGG